UACGUAGGUGGCAAGCGUUGUCCGGAUUUAUUGGGCGUAAAGAGCUCGUAGGCGGCUCAGUAAGUCAGGUGUGAAAACUCCAGGCUCAACCUGGAGACGCCACCUGAUACUGCUGUGGCUAGAGUCCGGUAGGGGAGCAUGGAAUUCCUGGUGUAGCGGUGAAAUGCGCAGAUAUCAGGAGGAACACCAGUGGCGAAGGCGGUGCUCUGGGCCGGAACUGACGCUGAGGAGCGAAAGCCAGGGGAGCAAACGGG
rnacentral:rRNA from 1 species